rnacentral:rRNA from 1 species
AUGCGAUACUUGGUGUGAAUUGCAGAAUUCCGUGAAUCAUCGAAUGUUUGAACGCAACUUGUGCCCGAGGCUUAUGUCGAGGGCGUGCCUGCCUGAGCGUC